UACGUAGGGUGCAAGCGUUAAUCGGAAUUACUGGGCGUAAAGCGUGCGCAGGCGGCUUUGCAAGACAGAUGUGAAAUCCCCGGGCUUAACCUGGGAACUGCAUUUGUGACUGCAUGGCUGGAGUGUGGCAGAGGGGGAUGGAAUUCCGCGUGUAGCAGUGAAAUGCGUAGAUAUGCGGAGGAACACCGAUGGCGAAGGCAAUCCCCUGGGCCUGCACUGACGCUCAUGCACGAAAGCGUGGGGAG
rnacentral:rRNA from 1 species